rnacentral:rRNA from 1 species
AUGAAUGCUGGCGGCGUGCUUAACACAUGCAAGUCGAACGGAAAGGCUCCUGCUUGCAGGGGUACUCGAGUGGCGAACGGGUGAGUAACACGUGGGUGAUCUGCCCUGCACUUCGGGAUAAGCCUGGGAAACUGGGUCUAAUACCGGAUAGGACGAUGGUUUGGAUGCCAUUGUGGAAAGUUUUUUCGGUGUGGGAUGAGCUCGCGGCCUAUCAGCUUGUUGGUGGGGUAAUGGCCUACCAAGGCGUCGACGGGUAGCCGGCCUGAGAGGGUGUACGGCCACAUUGGGACUGAGAUACGGCCCAGACUCCUACGGGAGGCAGCAGUGGGGAAUAUUGCACAAUGGGCGCAAGCCUGAUGCAGCGACGCCGCGUGGGGGAUGACGGCCUUCGGGUUGUAAACUCCUUUCGCUAGGGACGAAGCGCAAGUGACGGUACCUGGAGAAGAAGCACCGGCUAACUACGUG